rnacentral:lncRNA from 1 species
UAGGGUUGGGGUGACAGUGUUAAGGUUGGGAUUAGGGUUGGGGUUGGGUUGGGGUCAGGGUUAGGGUUGUGGAUGGGAUUAGGGUUAGGGUUAGGGUUAGGGUUAGGGUUAGGGUUAGGGUUAGGGUUAGGGUUAGGGUUAGGGCUGUGGAUGGGAUUAGGGUUAGGGUUAGGAUUAGGAUUAGGUUUGGGGUCAGGUCAUGGUCCAUAUUGGGGUCAGUGUUGGACUCACCCUCACGGUGCCCCCCCUCUUUGCCCCACAGAAAUCAGUUCUGGCCGCGCUCUACAGCUCCGAGGGCUCCGUCAUGGAGCGGCACCACUUUGCUCAGGCCAUCGCCAUCCUCAACAGCCAGGGAUGCAACAUCUUCGACCACUUCUCACGCAAGGUCAGACCCACAACCCGACCCACAGCGCCCCACAUCCACACUGUGCCCCACAUCCCUCAUUGUGCCCCACAUCCCACACUGUGCCCCACAUCCCUCAUUGUGCCCCACAUCCACACUGUGCCCCACAUCCACACUGUGCCCCACGACUCCCACAGCCACUCCACUGUGCCCACAAUCCCCUCCUUGCCCCACAUCCCUCAUUGUGCCCCCAUCCCACA